rnacentral:rRNA from 1 species
GUGUCAGCAGCCGCGGUAAUACAGAGGUCCCAAGCGUUGUUCGGAUUCACUGGGCGUAAAGGGUGCGUAGGUGGUGAGGUAAGUCGGAUGUGAAAGCUCGGAGCUCAACUCCGAAAUGGCAUUGGAAACUACCUUGCUCGAGGGAUGGAGGGGGGACUGGAAUUCUCGGUGUAGCAGUGAAAUGCGUAGAUAUCGAGAGGAACACCAGUGGCGAAGGCGAGUCCCUGGACAUCUCCUGACACUGAGGCACGAAAGCUAGGGGAGCAAACAGGAUUAGAAACCCCUGUAGUCC